rfam:Clostridium sp. CAG:75 genomic scaffold, scf222
AUGAGAAUCGAGGAACUUAACGGUGAAGGUGCUUAGCGAGUGCGACAGAUAUGUGGCGGAUGGAUAAUGAACCACGGGGGAUAUGAAAAAUGUCCCUAUCCUCAAAAUGGCAGAAGAGGAAAUCAUUCUGAUUGAUCAGGGUGUUGUGAAUGCGAGAGCAGCCGAGCAGCAGUUCCCAGUAUGCGGGCGUCGAGGAUGUGAGAAAUCACGCAUACAUACA